GGGCGCAUGGUGGAUAAGUGGUUAGCAUGUUCGCCUCACACCUCCAUUGUCCCGGGUUCAAUUCCCACUGGGGCCA